AGCCGCGGUAAUUCCAGCUCCAUUGGCGUAUAUUAAAGUUGUUGCGGUUAAAAAGCUCGUAGUUGGAUCUGUGUAUCGGACGGCCGGUUCGCCGCUCGCGGCGUUCAACUGGUCGGUCCGGACGUCCUGCCGGUGGGCGUCGCCGCGAGGCGGCGUCCGUAGCUCCCUCCGGGCUGCUCUUAACCGGGUGGCUCGGUGGGCCGGCACGUUUACUUUGAACAAAUUUGAGUGCUCAAAGCAGGCCUUUGGUCGCCUGAAAACUGUGUGCAUGGAAUAAUGGAAUAGGGCCUCGGUUCUAUUUUGUUGGCUUUUCUGAACUCGAGGUAAUGAUUAAUAGGAACAGACGGGGGCAUUCGUAUUGCGACGUUAGAGGUGAAAUUCUUGGAUCGUCGCAAGACGAACGGAUGCGAAAGCGUUUGCCAAGAAUGUUUUCGCUAAUCAAGAACGAAAGUUAGAGGUUCGAAGGCGAUCAGAUACCGCCCUAGUUCUAACCAUAAACGAUGCCAGCCAGCGAUGCGCCGAAGUUCCUCCGAUGACUCGGCGCGCAGCUUCCGGGAAACCAAAGCUUUUGGGUUCCGGGGGAA
rnacentral:rRNA from 1 species